rnacentral:rRNA from 1 species
AAAUAGAUACCCGGGUAGUCCACGCCGUAAACGAUGAGUGCUAAGUGUUAGGGGGUUUCCGCCCCUUAGUGCUGCAGCUAACGCAUUAAGCACUCCGCCUGGGGAGUACGGUCGCAAGACUGAAACUCAAAGGAAUUGACGGGGGCCCGCACAAGCGGUGGAGCAUGUGGUUUAAUUCGAAGCAACGCGAAGAACCUUACCAGGUCUUGACAUCCCAUUGACCGCUACGGAGACAUAGUUUUCCCUUCGGGGACAGUGGUGACAGGUGGUGCAUGGUUGUCGUCAGCUCGUGUCGUGAGAUGUUGGGUUAAGUCCCGCAACGAGCGCAACCCUUGCUCUUAGUUGCCAUCAUUUAGUUGGGCACUCUAAGGAGACUGCCGGUGACAAACCGGAGGAAGGUGGGGAUGACGUCAAAUCAUCAUGCCCCUUAUGACCUGGGCUACACACGUGCUACAAUGGACGGUACAAACGGUUGCCAACCCGCGAGGGGGAGCUAAUCCGAUAAAACCGUCCUCAGUUCGGAUUGUAGGCUGCAACUCGCCUACA